rnacentral:rRNA from 1 species
GACGAACGCUGGCGGCGUGCUUAACACAUGCAAGUCGAGCGGUAAGGCCCUUUCGGGGGUACGACGAGCGGCGAACGGGUAGAGUAACACGUGGGUGACCUGCCCUCAGCUCUGGGAGUAAGCCUGGGAAACCGGGGUCUAAUACUGGAUAUGACUCCAUGACGCAUGUUGUGGGGUGGAAAGCCUUGUGCGGCUGAGGAUGGGCCCGCGGCCUAUCAGCUUG